rnacentral:rRNA from 1 species
CAGCAGCCCGAGUGGUGGUCGUUUUUAUUGGGCCUGAAGCGUCCGUAGCCGGUCUAGUAAAUCCUUGGAUAAAUCGUACAGCUUAACUGUACGGCUCCCGGGGAGACUGCUAGACUUGGGACUGGGAGAGGUCGGAGGUACUCCAGGGGUAGGGGUGAAAUCUUGUAAUCCUUGGGGGACCACCAGUGGCGAAGGCGUCCGACCAGAACGGGUCCGACGGUAAGGGACGAAGCCCUGGGUCGCGAACCGGAUUAGAUACCCGAGUAGUCC